rnacentral:rRNA from 1 species
GACGAACGCUGGCGGCGUGCUUAACACAUGCAAGUCGAACGGAAAGGCCCUGCUUUUGUCGGGUUCUCGAGUGGCGAGCGGGUGAGUAACACGUGAGUAACCUUCCCUUGACUUUGUGAUAACUUCAGGAAACUGGGGCUACUACCUGAUAGGAGCUCCUGCUGCAUGGGGGGGGUUGGACAGUUUAGGCGGUUGGGGAUGGACUCGCGGCUUAUCAGCUUGUUGGUGGGGUAGUUGCUUACCCAGGCUUUGACGGGUAGCCGGCAUGAGAGGGUGAACGGGCACAUUGGGACUGAGAUACGGCGCAGAGUCGUACGGUAGGCAGCAGUGGGGAAUAUUGCACAAUGGGCGGAAGCCUGAUGAAGCAGCGCCGCGUGCGGGAUGCCGGCCUUGGGGUUGUAAACCGCUUUCGCCUGUGACGAAGCGUGAGUGACGGUAAUGGGUAAAGAAGCACCGGCUAACUACGUG